GAUGAACGCUGGCGGCGUGCCUAAUACAUGCAAGUCGAGCGAACGGACGAGAAGCUUGCUUCUCUGAUGUUAGCGGCGGACGGGUGAGUAACACGUGGAUAACCUACCUAUAAGACUGGGAUAACUUCGGGAAACCGGAGCUAAUACCGUAUAAUAUUUUGAACCGCAUGGUUCAAAAGUGAAAGACGGUCUUGCUGUCACUUAUAGAUGGAUCCGCGCUGCAUUAGCUAGUUGGUAAGGUAACGGCUUACCAAGGCAACGAUGCAUAGCCGACCUGAGAGGAUGAUCGGCCACACUGGAACGGAGACACGGUCCAGACUCCUACGGGAGGCAGCAGUAGGGAAUCUUCCGCAAUGGGCGAAAGCCUGACGGAGCAACGCCGCGUGAGUGAUGAAGGUCUUCGGAUCGUAAAACUCUGUUAUUAGGGAAGAACAUAUGUGUAAGUAACUGUGCACAUCUUGACGGUACCUAAUCAGAAAGCCACGGCUAACUACGUG
rnacentral:rRNA from 1 species